rnacentral:lncRNA from 1 species
GGAUCACGGAGGUUUAUUAAUGAGAAUUUCCCCGUUCUACCUCUGGGCUUAGUCUGUGUGAAAAUCUAAGAAAGGCUCAUUAGUUUUUAUAUUAGUCAGGGUUCUCCAGAGAAUCCAAACCAAUAGGAUGUACAUAGGUAAAGAGAUUUAUCUUAAGGAAUUAGCUCAUGUGACUAUGACAAUCGGCAAGCUAAAGACCCAGGAGAGCGGUGGUGUGUUUCCAGUUUGAAUGCCAACAGGCUUGAGAUCAGAAAGAGUGGAUGUUUUAGUCUGAGUCCAAAGGCAGGAAAAAAUCAUGUCCCAUCUUAAGGUAGUUGGGCCACAGUUCCUCCUUACUUGGGGGAGGGUCAGCCUUUUGGUUUUAUUCAGGUCCUCAACAGAUUUCAUGAGGCCCACCUGUAUCAGGAAGGCCAAUAGUCCACUGAUUCAAAUGUUAAUCUCAUCCAGAAGUACCCUCCCAGACACACCCAGCAUAAUGCAUGACCAAAAUGUCUGGGCAUCCUGUGGCUUAGUCAAGUUGACAAGUAAAAUUAACAAUUGCAGUUUUCAUUAUGGAAGGCUAACAUUUCAGCCUAAUUGUUUGGUGAUCAAAGCUGAUGAUUCUGUCUCCAAUCAGCCCUACAGAAUGCUGAUCUUCCCACAUCAGAGUAACAGAGUUGUGGCUGGUGGUACUGUGGAGCGCUUCUAGAAGAUUUACGUGUAGCACCUGCUUCACUUGCUUCUGAGAAAGUCUUUGUUGCUAGAUGUCCACUCUCUCCCCCUGGAGCCGGCCAGAAUGGUGACAACCAGAGAGCCUGGGAAACCUCAUGCUGAAGUCCGUGGAGCUGCUGUCAGGCUGGCUCUGCCACUACCUGCAACUCUUUAGUUUAGCAGCCUAGUGUAAUGAGGUCAUAUGACAUUUUCUGUUUUCUUCCAAAAGUUUUCAAGUUUUCCUUUUCACAUCUAGAUUUUAAAUCUGCUUGGCCUUGGCUGUUAUGAUGGCCAUAAAUUAUAGAGUCUUUUUUCAAAUGAAUAAACAACUAUCCUGUUACCCA